rnacentral:rRNA from 1 species
UGGGGAAUAUUGCACAAUGGGGGAAACCCUGAUGCAGCGACGCCGCGUGAGCGAAGAAGUAUUUCGGUAUGUAAAGCUCUAUCAGCAGGGAAGAAAAUGACGGUACCUGACUAAGAAGCACCGGCUAAAUACGUGCCAGCGGCCGCGGUAAUACGUAGGGGGCGAGCGUUGUCCGGAAUGACUGGGCGUAAAGGGUGUGUAGGUGGUUUGAUAAGUUAGAUGUGUAAUACCCAGGGCUUAACUCGGGUGCUGCAUCUAAAACUGUUAGACCUGAGUACUGGAGAGGAUAGUGGAAUCCCUAGUGUAGCGGUGGAACGCGUAGAUAUUAGGAGGAACAUCAGUGGCGAAGGCGACUAUCUGGACAGCAACUGACACUGAGGCACGAAAGCGUGGGGAGCAAACAGGAUUAGAUACCCUGGUAGU